CAGCAGUGGGGAAUAUUGCACAAUGGGCGGAAGCCUGAUGCAGCAACGCCGCGUGAGGGAUGACGGCCUUCGGGUUGUAAACCUCUUUUAGCAGGGAAGAAGCGAGAGUGACGGUACCUGCAGAAAAAGCGCCGGCUAACUACGUGCCAGCAGCCGCGGUAAUACGUAGGGCGCAAGCGUUAUCCGGAAUUAUUGGGCGUAAAGAGCUCGUAGGCGGUUUGUCGCGUCUGCUGUGAAAUCCCGAGGCUCAACCUCGGGCCUGCAGUGGGUACGGGCAGACUAGAGUGCGGUAGGGGAGAUUGGAAUUCCUGGUGUAGCGGUGGAAUGCGCAGAUAUCAGGAGGAACACCGAUGGCGAAGGCAGAUCUCUGGGCCGUAACUGACGCUGAGGAGCGAAAGGGUGGGGAGCAAACAGGCUUAGAUACCCUGGUAGUCCACCCCGUAAACGUUGGGAACUAGUUGUGGGGACCAUUCCACGGUUUCCGUGACGCAGCUAACGCA
rnacentral:rRNA from 1 species